rnacentral:rRNA from 1 species
AAAUUGAAGAGUUUGAUCAUGGCUCAGAUUGAACGCUGGCGGCAGGCCUAACACAUGCAAGUCGAACGGUAACAGGAAACAGCUUGCUGUUUCGCUGACGAGUGGCGGACGGGUGAGUAAUGUCUGGGAAACUGCCUGAUGGAGGGGGAUAACUACUGGAAACGGUAGCUAAUACCGCAUAACGUCGCAAGACCAAAGAGGGGGACCUUCGGGCCUCUUGCCAUCGGAUGUGCCCAGAUGGGAUUAGCUAGUAGGUGGGGUAACGGCUCACCUAGGCGACGAUCCCUAGCUGGUCUGAGAGGAUGACCAGCCACACUGGAACUGAGACACGGUCCAGACUCCUACGGGAGGCAGCAGUGGGGAAUAUUGCACAAUGGGCGCAAGCCUGAUGCAGCCAUGCCGCGUGUAUGAAGAAGGCCUUCGGGUUGUAAAGUACUUUCAGCGGGGAGGAAGGGAGUAAAGUUAAUACCUUUGCUCAUUGACGUUACCCGCAGAAGAAGCACCGGCUAACUCCGUGCCAGCAGCCGCGGUAAUACGGAGGGUGCAAGCGUUAAUCGGAAUUACUGGGCGUAAAGCGCACGCAGGCGGUUUGUUAAGUCAGAUGUGAAAUCCCCGGGCUCAACCUGGGAACUGCAUCUGAUACUGGCAAGCUUGAGUCUCGUAGAGGGGGGUAGAAUUCCAGGUGUAGCGGUGA